rnacentral:lncRNA from 10 species
GCCAAUUGUGGUUCAGAAAUUACAGAGGGAAAUGCUGAUUUUGAAAUAUUUUCUUAAUUUCAGUGAGAAGGACCCAAAAGUGUUGGAGAUAAAAAAGAUUCACUUGAUCACCAGAAAUAAAAUGGGCAUAACUACUGUAAUAAGCAACAAGACCAGCAUGGAAUGCUGUCCCUCACAGGGAUCUUCAGCUAUAGUGGAUUGACAAUGGGUCAGUAGGACUGAAAUGGUUAUAUUCUCAUACACCCAGAUCUGGGCAGCAGGUUGCACCACAAUAGACCUUCAUCAAAGUCUUUGACCUAAGUCAGCUUAUAGACCAAGGGCUCAUUAAAUGACAGAUAAUUUUGAUCAUGUGACUGAGUUUUGGCCAAGAAAAUAUGAAUAUUCUAUUUCAAGUCCUGAGUCAUAAAAUCCUCUGACACAGUCUUCUACUCUCUUUCCCCAAAUGCCUACUGAAUUGAGAGACUAACAGGAAGUGAGGUCACACAGAGGAAAAAGCCCAGGUCCUAGAGUUUCUUAGAAAAAGCCAUGUGAUUACUAAUACCCAUACUAGAGUGUGCCAUGAGUGAGAAAUGAAAACUUACGGUGUAAAGUUGUAAGAUUUUUCACAUGUAUCUAUAAUAGCAGUUGGCAUUACCUCAACAGGCUAUUGCAGCACAAAUAUCCAAGUUGAAGUCCUUGGAUUUUUCUUUGUUUCCUAUCAAAAAUAACACUAAAGCAAUACCACAAUUAUGAAGAACACAGAUUACUAUCACCAUUUUGCUUUAAAAAUAUGAGAUUAUGUUAUUAUGUCCUUUUUUAACUUUCCACUUUGGUCAGUGUGGAAGGGGAACAUAUCUUGGAGACUCAGGGUGAAUAAUCAGAAAUUUAAUCAGGUGCAACUGUUAUUCUAGACCUCACAUAGUAUCUAUAUUAGCCUGUUUUCACGCUGCUGAUAAAGACAUACUCGAGACUGGGCAACUUACAAAACAAAAGGGGUUUAAUUGGACUUACAGUUCCAUGUGGCUGGGGAAGCUUCACAAUCACACGGAAGGCAAGAAGGAACAAGUCACAUCUUAAAUGGAUGGCAGCAGGCAAAAAGACUCGCGCAGGAGAACUCCUCUUUUUAAAACCAUUAGAUCUUAGAAGACGUAUUCACUAUCAUGAGAACAGCAUGGGAAAGACCUGCCCCCAUGAUUCAAUUAUCUCCCACCAGGUCCCUUUCACAACACAUGGGAAUUCAAGCUGAGAUUUGGGUGGGGACACAGCCAAACCAUAUCAGUAUCUGUGGUGGGAACCCAGAUGUCCUGACUUCAUGGCUCCAGCACUCAUUCACUCAGCAGCCUGCACAGCAAGGAGAUCAAUAAGUUCUGAAGAAUGGCAUCUGGAGCUACAACUAUCAAUCCGAUUGACAUUUUAUAGAUAAAGAUUGUUG